rnacentral:tRNA from 1 species
GCGCUUGUAGCUUAAUGGAUAGAGCAUUGGAUUGCGGAUCCAAAGGUUGUGGGUUCAACUCCCGCCAGGCGCG